AUCCAGUCUUUGUCCCCAUGCAGAGCGAGGAGGAGAGCACCAGACACCUGCUGUUCAGACAGAAACACUUAUCCGUCCACGACAUCCAAGAGGUCGAUGUCACGUGAUGAAGCUGAGAGUCCUGAGGUUCAAGGAGGGACUGUGAAACUGAUGAUCUGCAGCCUCGUCAUGACACAAACACUUCCUGUCGGGUAUUGAAGUAGUACUUCUGUACAGUCAGAGUAUUACCUGCUGUGGACAGGGUUUUGUCCCAACCCGGCUCAGAGGGAGGACAAAGAGGAGAGGACAGCACAGGAAUUCUAACUAAAGAUUUAUUUAACAAAAUGUAAAUUAACCACUGGAUCUAACAAGCAUGUUAAUCAGUAACCUCAGCAGCCUGUUGUGUGUCUGUAUGUGUGCACAGUGAAGUGUGGCGAAAAAAUACACAAGGAGAAACCGAACCCAGACAGCAGGCCAUCGACCCAGAGAGACUGGACCCAGCAACUUAUAGCCCAGCAGCAGCAGGUGGUGAUCAGUAACCGUAGCUGCGUAGAAAUGCAGUCCCAUAGACCUGAGAAACAUGGACCUGAGAAACACGGACCCGAGGACCAUGGACAUGAGGACCACUGUGAUGGCCCCUCUGCAGGGUUCAUACUGUUGUUGGUGUGCUGUCUGUCUCCAGGGCUGCAGACCUGAUUGGCAGAGUAAUCAGUGGCGUGGGACACACCUGGGCCCUGGUGUGCCCCAUGCAUAUAAGCCAGAACAGCAGUCAGUCUGGGUUGGACCUCUUCAUCUCACGGCUUCCUUUGUUUGUUUGGUUUCUUGUCUUUGUUUUCACAGCACAACAUCCAUGCAGCACAUUUUCACUCAUCCACUCCCUACACUACUGACACUACAGAUUCUUCCCACUCACUGGUUUCACUUAUUUUCUUAUUAAUAAAUCACUUUGUUAUUUAGUUUACCCUUGUGUCUCCCGUUUUUGUUACAGUCAAACAUGGACUUGACGACCACAGACCUGAGGUCUUCAGGAAUGUGUUUCAACUGGUUGUAAUAGUUCAUGUCAAUUGGUAUCGGCUGUGUUUCACGCUGUCCAGCUGACCUGCGGCCUCAGCUCAUGAAGUCUUUUGUCCACAGCAGGGACUCGCUCUGCUUCCCGGCCUGGACUCUGACUGUGGAUAAGGUAUUGAAAGAAACAUAAUGAAUUACAGGUUUUUAAUAACGACCAUGUGAGCUCCAGGACUGUGAUGAGGAGGAGGACUCAGGAAGGAUGCUCGUCUUGGUUAAAUAUUAACCACUUGGCGUCUCGUGGAGAUUUCAGGUGUGCAGGAGUCGGUUCACCUGCUGCCAGUCAUCUUCCCUCCGCUCUGCUUCAGAGACCUGGUUCCUGUCUCAACACUCCAGAUCGUAGCCUGAGCCAGAUGUCAGUUUCGGUCCAGGGAAGUUUGUUCUGCCUUGUGUAUCUGACACCUGAACCCGACAGCCUCCUUGUCCGGACCUGACUCCUGCCUCGCUGCAUUUAUGUUUUCACCUACAACAGUCUUAACACAAUAUGUGGCUUUUUAGACCAGGUUUGAUUCAACAAAACAAUAAGGAGCACUAAAACUGUUUCCUUUCAACCAGCUCAGGGCGUUGUCUGUAAUUCAGUGUGACUAAUAUGUAAAAACUGCAUUUCAGUUUAAUGAGUUAUCUUUUAAAUAAACCUUCAUGGAGACACA